UGGGGAAUAUUGCACAAUGGGGGAAACCCUGAUGCAGCGACGCCGCGUGAACGAAGAAGGUAUUCGUAUCGUAAAGUUCUGUCCUAUGGGAAGAUAAUGACAGUACCAUAGAAGAAAGCUCCGGCUAAAUACGUGCCAGCAGCCGCGGUAAUACGUAUGGAGCGAGCGUUGUCCGGAAUUAUUGGGCGUAAAGGGUACGCAGGCGGUUUAAUAAGUCGAAUGUUAAAGAUCGGGGCUCAACCCCGCAAAGCAUUGGAAACUGAUAAACUUGAGUAGUGGAGAGGAAAGUGGAAUUCCUAGUGUAGUAGUGAAAUACGUAGAUAUUAGGAGGAAUACCAGUAGCGAAGAAGACUUUCUGGACGAAAACUGACGAUGAGGUACGACAGCGUGGGGAGCAACCAGG
rnacentral:rRNA from 1 species